UGCGUAGGCGGGUUCUUAAGUUAGAGGUGAAAGCCUGGAGCUCAACUCCAGAACUGCCUUUAAUACUGGGAAUCUUGAGUUCGGAAGAGGUGAGUGGAACUGCGAGUGUAGAGGUGAAAUUCGUAGAUAUUCGCAAGAACACCAGUGGCGAAGGCGGCUCACUGGUCCGAUACUGACGCUGAGGCACGAAAGCGUGGGAGCAAACA
rnacentral:rRNA from 1 species